GGAAUUAUCAGAGUAACAAUAGUUCCUGUUACUGACUUGAUAUGGUCUCUGCCAGAAUAGCUUCUCAGAUUAAUGGCCACUCUCAGGGGAAGCAUUUCUCCUUGCAUUGGUUUGCUGGUAUGGAUGGCCCUUAGAUUUUGGCAUGAGUGAUUAUGCAGCCUAUUUGAAGAAAACCUGUUUUCAGGACCUUUUUAAUUAAAUAUGGCCUGUUACAUGAGUUAAAGUGUCAUACGAUACCAUUUUUUGACCACUUAGUUGAUGCCUCUGAAAGGAAGAGAGAAUCAGAUCGCUAAAAUUUGAUGUGUCGUCAGUGUGGAUCCUACUCAGUAGUGUCACAACGAGGCUGAAAAUCAUAUUAAGUGCUUUUAGGACAGAAACGUAAACUGCUCAGGUAAAAUAACCUUAUAAAGAGAAAUAAGCAUAUAUUGCAGAGGCCUUGGCUAGGUUCAUGAUGACACAGGACCUUGUCUGAACAUAAUGAUUUCAAAAUUUGAGCUUAAAAAUGACACUCUGAAAUCCAGUCAGUGUGCCUCACUAGACUUUUCGAUUUCAAGAUUUUCUGCAGAAAAUGUUUUGAAAACUUUGAAUACUUAAAAAUGGCAGGUGUAGUAUUGCACUUUGCUAGUUGCUCAGAUACCCUUUUUUAUUUGUAUAGAUAUUCUGAGUUCCUUUUUUUUUCUACAUGUUGUACGUUGUCGAAAGCUAAAAGGAAACUUAUCCUUGGAUCACGGAAGGCAGAGGCAUUUGGUGAGAUGGAAACAAGGAUGUGUAAAAAUGAGACGACCACCUCUCGGAUUAAAAAAAAAAAGUGCCAGAGUUCUAGGGUUCUAAGUGAUGUCCAGGAAGGAGGAGGAAUAAUAUUUAUGGAGCAUAUAUUAUGGAACACACCAUUAUGAAUGGUUUUUGAUUGAUCUCACAAAGAGCAUGUGCUUUAGACAUUAAUGCAGCGACUACCAUGAAACAGAGUAUUGGAUUACCUAAGGAAAGAAGCAGAGGAUGGAAUUUGAGGCAAUCAGGAUGAGUGAAAAAUUGAUUUGCAGCUGACCUGCAAAUGGAAUCAUCAGGAACAUCCCUUUCUCAUGGAGUCCCUUAAUUUACAAGUUAACUGCAAACAUAGGAGAUGAUAGUUCCAAGAAGGAACAUUUUAUCGUCUUUGUUUUUAAUCUCAAGAAUGGUACCUACCAUCAGUGAAUGACCUGUUGCAGUGCUUUCAUUGAAGUGUUCUUCGUUCCCUCAGCAAUAUGAUUGUGAUGACUGAAAAAGGGAAACUGUGCCACUAUUUGUACCAUCAUUUUCACCAAAAUCUAAAAAUGCUUUUUAUGACGUAUGGAGACAUUCUUCAUGUUUGUUUCAGUGGACACUCCUUGCAGAUGUAAAAAACUGAGAAAACUCACUUUUGGAAAGUGACCUAAAGAGUGUCAUUGAAGUGAAUUUUAAGUAGGCACGAUGAUUGUUUUCAUGGUUGCUGUUGGAUCAUAUCUCAGGAGCUGGAAUGACAGACAUUAUUGAACAAAGAAAUCAGGAUAGUGGAACUUAAAGGGCUUCAUCUCAGUGCUUUCAUAAGUAUGAAGUGCAUAUAUUUAUAAUUUUCACUAAUCACAGGAAUAUUCCCUCUGUAUACUUGCAUUUUUUUCUAUCAAUUGACGCUUACAAUUAUUUUUGCAAGUUGGAAAAAAAUGCAGUAUUAAUUUCAUUUGCAACAAAUUUAAUAGAUUAAUUAGGAGAGAAUAGAUAUCUUUAAAAUUGAGUCUUCUGUCCAACUGCAAGUUAUAGCUGAGGUGGUACCAGUUUAAGAAGUGAGAACUUCUUCACUGACUGAAAUUUGCAUAUCAAUCCAAAUCAUUGUGCUUAUUUACUAUUUUUGUAGACGUCAUUCUUCAAAAGUGCUGCAUCUUCAAUAGUCAAGGAGGACAAAGACAUCUUUCCUGCAGGUGGUGACCAUGUGGAUAAUAGGAUCAUAGACAAAUGGUGGUUCCAUCUACAGCAUCACCGAAAUGCUGUUGUUACUGCUUCUUUCUGGGAUCUUCUUGCAUCUUUGCUUCUAAAGGGGCACACCUUUUAUAGAAGUACGUCCAGGAAUAGAAGUGACCUGCUUUUUCGCAAGUAAUUGCCUGGAAUGUUUUUAUGUACUUCUCUGCACUCUCAAUACAUUUCAUGCUUCCCUCUAUUUUUGUAUAUUAACUCAUUGUAUUUCUUAAAUUUAUAUUUUACUUUAUGAAUGGAAGUGAGAUUUGUGUAUGGUAAAUAUAAUUAAUUCAACCCCAUGGAUACGUUAGUCACUGUCCAGAUGAUGGCAAGUCUUUCUCAGAAGCAGAGGGCCUUGGUGUGCCAGUGAUUUUUUUUCCCCAUGUGUAAGAUACUUUUUUUCCUCAUUUGAAUCAGGAGCCCACAGUUUUUAGACAAGUCCCAAAUGAAAUCUUAAGCAUUUGUGUUAUCUGGACUAGACCUUCUGUAGUAUCCUUUUUGUUAGACCUAGUAUAUCUCAUUGCAGAUCAGGAUCUGAGAUUGACUAUAGUUCACCUCUUUCCAAGUACACAAACUUGGAUGACAUGACAACUGAGUGUGUAAGGGAGAGCGAGACCCUUGCACUGCCAUUUGAGCCCUUGUGAUCUCAUCUUGUAGAACAUGUUGUACAAUCAUUUUAUUGGUAUCAUUAGUGUUAUUUGGGGCUGGAAUAAAAAUCUCAGUGCACCAAAGAGAUUUCCCCUUUAUCCACGUUACCCUGGUUUUCCUUUGUUUUCUGUUUAACCUAAACGGGCUUAAUAUAAAAUAGUGCUUAUUUGGUGUUUUAAUUGUCUGCUUCUAUAACAUAAGCUGCACUGUCCAUUGGGGAACUGCUCACCAUAUUGCCCAACCUGUCUUGAUAGGUUUAUACAUGGGAGGCAUUCAGUAAUAUUAAUUACCUCUCUAGACCAGUGUUAGCAAUAACAAACACUUGCUAGAAUUUUAAGACUAUAUAAUCAAUCACUUUGAUGUCAGUUAAUCCUACCAACACAAGAUUAAAGGUUUAAAAAUCUC
rnacentral:lncRNA from 1 species